rnacentral:rRNA from 1 species
UACCAGCACCCCGAGUGGUCGGGACGUUUAUUGGGCCUAAAGCAUCCGUAGCCGGUUCUACAAGUCUUCCGUUAAAUCCACCUGCUUAACAGAUGGGCUGCGGAAGAUACUAUAGAGCUAGGAGGCGGGAGGAGGCAAGCGGUACUCGAUGGGUAGGGGUAAAAUCCGUUGAUCCAUUGAAGACCACCAGUGGCGAAGGCGGCGUUGCCAGAACGCGCUCGACGGUGAGGGAUGAAAGCUGGGGGAGCAAAC